CCGGUUGAUCCUGCCGGACCUGACUGCUAUCGGAUUGAUACUAAGCCAUGCGAGUCAUUGUAGCAAUACAAGGCAGACGGCUCAGUAACGCGUAGUCAACCUACCCUAUGGACGGGAAUAACCUCGGGAAACUGAGUAUAAUGCCCGAUAGAACAUUAUACCUGGAAUGGUUUAUGUUCCAAAUGAUUUAUCGCCGUAGGAUGGGACUGCGGCCUAUCAGUUUGUUGGUGAGGUAAUGGCCCACCAAGACUAUUACAGGUACGGGCUCUGAGAGGAGUGGCCCGGAGAUGGGUACUGAAACACGGACCCAGGCCCUAUGGGGCGCAGCAGGCGAGAAAACUUUGCAAUGUGCGAAAGCACGACAAGGUUAAUCCGAGUGGUUUCUGCUAAAGGAACCUUUUGUUAGUCUUAGAAACACUAACGAAUAAGGGGUGGGCAAGUUCUGGUGUCAGCCGCCGCGGUAAAACCAGCACCUCAAGUGGUCAGGAUGAUUAUUGGGCCUAAAGCAUCCGUAGCCGGCUCUGUAAGUUUUCGGUUAAAUCUGUACGCUUAACGUACAGGCCGCCGGGAAUACUGCAGAGCUAGGGAGUGGGAGAGGUAGACGGUACUCGGGAGGAAGUGGUAAAAUGCUUUGAUCUCUCGAUGACCACCUGUGGCGAAGGCGGUCUACCAGAACACGUCCGACGGUGAGGGAUGAAAGCU
rnacentral:rRNA from 1 species